rnacentral:sRNA from 1 species
GAAAAUUAACUAUCUUACUAGAUUUUAACCCGCGAUACACUUUAACCCUCGGUACACUUUAACAUGCGGUACAUUGCAAAACUAUUUUCUUUUUAA